rnacentral:tRNA from 1 species
AGGGCUAUAGCUCAGCGGUAGAGCGCCUCGUUUUUUUACCGAGAAUGUCUACGGUUCGAAUCCGUAUAGCCCUAC